rnacentral:rRNA from 1 species
UACAGAGGUCCCAAGCGUUGUUCGGAUUCACUGGGCGUAAAGGGUGCGUAGGUGGUCGGGUAAGUCUGAUGUGAAAGCUCUGGGCUCAACCCAGAAAUGGCAUUGGAUACUUUCUGGCUAGAGGAAUGGAGGGGGGACUGGAAUACUUGGUGUAGCAGUGAAAUGCGUAGAUAUCAAGUGGAACACCAGUGGCGAAGGCGAGUCCCUGGACAUUUCCUGACACUGAGGCACGAAAGCUAGGGGAGCAAACAGG